UACGUAGGGUGCAAGCGUUGUCCGGAAUUAUUGGGCGUAAAGAGCUCGUAGGCGGUCUGUCGCGUCGGCUGUGAAAACUCGGGGCUCAACCCCGAGCCUGCAGUCGAUACGGGCAGACUAGAGUGCUGUAGGGGAGACUGGAAUUCCUGGUGUAGCGGUGAAAUGCGCAGAUAUCAGGAGGAACACCGGUGGCGAAGGCGGGUCUCUGGGCAGUAACUGACGCUGAGGAGCGAAAGCGUGGGGAGCGAACAGGAUUAGA
rnacentral:rRNA from 1 species